rnacentral:rRNA from 1 species
UACGUAGGGUGCAAGCGUUGUCCGGAAUUAUUGGGCGUAAAGGGCUCGUAGGCGGUUUGUCGCGUCGGGAGUGAAAUCCACUGGCUUAACUGGUGGCUUGCUUUCGAUACGGGUGGACUAGAGGUAUGCAGGGGAGAACGGAAUUCCUGGUGUAGCGGUGGAAAUGCGCAGAUAUCAGGAGGAACACCGAUGGCGAAGGCAGGUCUCUGGGCAUUAACUGACGCUGAGGAGCGAAAGCAUGGGGAGCGAACAGG